rnacentral:rRNA from 1 species
GUCGAACGGACUCAUAUUGAAACCUAGUGAUUUAUGAGUUAGUGGCGGACGCGUGAGUAACGCGUGGAUAACCUGCCGUAUACCGGGGGAUAACACUUAGAAAUAGGUGCUAACACCGCAUAAGCGCACGGCUCCGCAUGGGGCAGUGUGAAAAACUCCGGUGGUAUACGAUGGAUCCGCGUCUGAUUAGCUAGUUGGCGGGGUAACGGCCCACCAAGGCAGCGAUCAGUAGCCGGCCUGAGAGGGUGGACGGCCACAUUGGGACUGAGACACGGCCCAAACUCCUACGGGAGGCAGCAGUGGGGAAUAUUGCACAAUGGGGGAAACCCUGAUGCAGCGACGCCGCGUGAGUGAAGAAGUAUCUCGGUAUGUAAAGCCCUAUCAGCAGGGAAGAAGAUGACAGUACCUGACCAAGAAGCCCCGGCUAACUACGUGCCAGCAGCCGCGGUAAUACGUAGGGGGCAAGCGUUAUCCGGAUUUACUGGGUGUAAAGGGAGCGUAGGUGGCAUGGCAAGCCAGAAGUGAAAACCCGGGGCUUAACCCCGCGGAUUGCUUUUGGAACUGUCAGGCUGGAGUGCAGGAGGGGCAGGCGGAAUUCCUGGUGUAGCGGUGAAAUGCGUAGAUAUCAGGAGGAACACCGGUGGCGAAGGCGGCCUGCUGGACUGUAACUGACACUG